UACGUAGGGGGCGAGCGUUGUCCGGAUUUAUUGGGCGUAAAGAGCUCGUAGGCGGCUCGGUAAGUCAGGUGUGAAACCUCCAGGCUCAACCUGGAGACGCCACCUGAUACUGCCGUGGCUAGAGUCCGGUAGAGGAGAGUGGAAUUCCUGGUGUAGCGGUGAAAUGCGUAGAGAUCAGGAAGAACACCGAUGGCGAAGGCGCUCUGCUAGGCCGCAACUGACACUGAGGGACGAAAGCUAGGGGAGCGAAUGGG
rnacentral:rRNA from 1 species